UACAGGGGGGGCAAGCGUUGUUCGGAAUUACUGGGCGUAAAGGGCGCGUAGGCGGCUUGGCAAGUGGAAGGUGAAAUCCCUCGGCUUAACCGAGGAACUGCCCUCCAAACUGCUUUGCUUGAGGCCGGGAGAGGUGAGUGGAAUUCCCAGUGUAGCGGUGAAAUGCGUAGAUAUUGGGAGGAACACCAGUGGCGAAGGCGGCUCACUGGACCGGUUCUGGACGCUGAGGCGCGAAAGCGUGGGGAGCAAACGGG
rnacentral:rRNA from 1 species